AUUGAACGCUGGCGGCAGGCCUAACACAUGCAAGUCGAACGGUAGCACAGAGAGCUUGCUCUCGGGUGACGAGUGGCGGACGGGUGAGUAAUGUCUGGGAAACUACCCGAUGGAGGGGGAUAACUACUGGAAACGGUAGCUAAUACCGCAUAACGUCGCAAGACCAAAGUGGGGGACCUUCGGGCCUCACACCAUCGGAUGUGCCCAGAUGGGAUUAGCUAGUAGGUGGGGGAAUGGCUCACCUAGGCGACGAUCCCUAGCUGGUCUGAGAGGAUGACCAGCCACACUGGAACUGAGACACGGUCCAGACUCCUACGGGAGGCAGCAGUGGGGAAUAUUGCACAAUGGGCGCAAGCCUGAUGCAGCCAUGCCGCGUGUAUGAAGAAGGCCUUCGGGUUGUAAAGUACUUUCAGCGGGGAGGAAGGCGGUGAAGUUAAUAGCUUCACCGAUUGACGUUACCCGCAGAAGAAGCACCGGCUAACUCCGUGCCAGCCGCCGCGGUAA
rnacentral:rRNA from 1 species